CACAGCAUUUCCGUUUUUCACAAUAAACUGGUUUACACACCACUGUGAUAUGCUUAGUAGAAGUGAAAGCAAAAAGUUUUUCUUUUGGAAGCACCCAUAUAGGACAGUAUUUUCUGUAAAGAAACAUGAUUUUCCAAAUCACUGUGGUGGGACUCAUAAAAGAAACCACUGUGAUUAAAUUCGACUGUUCAAAGGCAAGUUUUGACAAGACUACAACUCUGGAGUUAAAGAAAAAAAUCUUUGUCGAACAUCUAAAAGAUCCAGGUGUAGACACUGAUUCAGUGCGCUUGGUUUUUGAGUCAACGGCGAUGGAAGAUGAGAAGACGUUUUCCGAUUACCACAUCCAGAACAUGUCCUCGGUGAUGAUGAUCUCGCGCAUGCUAGGGGGACGGAUGCCUCAGCCGGUCCCAUGGACACUCAAUCGCAGGUCGGCCGCGAGAAACAUCCGCUACGUUGCACGGGAACAUAACUGCCAAACCUGGCAACGAAAACCGCAAGAAGUUGUAGAACUGUCGUCGUAAUUAUCAUUUGGUACAAAAAGUUCUGUAAUUUCUACAUACUGAAACCAAAAUGUAUAAAAAUACCCUUUAACAGAAGACCAGAGUCACUAUUUCAGCCAUUUGUAAAUUGUUUGAUUGCAAAUCUUAAAUUAUGGAGUUACAGUCAAAUCAAGAAAAAAUGUCUUGGUCUCAAACAUUAUGGAGGGCACUGUAUAGCACCACUACCAUGUCACAGAUCUUGUAUACUGAAACGAAAUAAUGUGUAUUAACCCACUUAAAUGAUUAUAUAUUGUCACAAUAUAGGAAAACACAUGGAGUUUUAAAUAGACUAUCAGGUGCUGUGAUUUAAAUGUGUGGAUGACUAUUUUAUAUAUGCAUAUUUUUACUCGUAUCAUCUAAUAUGAUAACUAACACUGUAGUAUAGAUGGGAGGGGGCCUGGACUCUCAGAAGCAAUAGAUCUAACCUUAUUUACCUUAUUUGGGAGACCUUUAAAAAUGUACAGGAUAUGGAUGUUUUUCAGUGUAUCAGUGGAUUGCAUUUUAGUUGUGUGGGACUGUCUCUUAUUAAAUAGUGAGUAUGGGCCGUUUUAUUCCCCGUGAAUUAAAGGUUUAAAUUAUUACAGUGUCCAUGUCUACAGAGAACAGAAAGGAGUGAAGGAGUUUGUUCAUUUAUUUAUUUAUUUUUACUGUAAGAGCCAUGUAAAUAUUUUUGUCUCCUUUUCUAUCGUAUUUUGUGUUGCGCACCACCACUGGGUGUUAUGAUAGUUUUGUCACGUGGGUAUGGGUGGCGAUAAGGCAAAUUAUAUGGUCACCUGUUCACCUGUAUGAAGACACAGAGAGGGGGUGAGUGGGGAGCAAGUACUCUUUUGUUGACCGCUAUCGCUAUAUGGUACAAUUUGGAUUUAUUUGCUAAAGUAAUAAACGUAUUUUGCUCGGUCUCUGAA